ACGGGUGAGUAACACGUAUCCAACCUGCCGUCUACUCUUGGACAGCCUUCUGAAAGGAAAGAUUAAUACAAGAUGGCAUCAUGAGUUCACAUGUUCACAUGAUUAAAGGUAUUCCGGUAGACGAUGGGGAUGCGUUCCAUUAGAUAGUAGGCGGGGUAACGGCCCACCUAGUCUUCGAUGGAUAGGGGUUCUGAGAGGAAGGUCCCCCACAUUGGAACUGAGACACGGUCCAA
rnacentral:rRNA from 1 species